rnacentral:rRNA from 1 species
UACGUAGGGUGCGAGCGUUGUCCGGAAUUACUGGGCGUAAAGAGCUCGUAGGUGGUUUGUCGCGUUGUCCGUGAAAACUCACAACUCAAUUGUGGGCGUGCGGGCGCUACGGGCAGACUGGAGUACUGCAGGGGAGACUGGAAUUCCUGGUGUAGCGGUGGAAUGCGCAGAUAUCAGGAGGAACACCGGUGGCGAAGGCGGGUCUCUGGGCAGUAACUGACGCUGAGGAGCGAAAGCGUGGGGAGCGAACAGG